GGUGUGAUUCUUGAGAGUUCUAGCCUAGGGAAGGGAGAUUUCAUGGCUGUGGUGUUAGGAGAGUCUUGUGCUGCUUCUGAUUUUGUUGUUUUUGUCACUGAUCGUUCCAUAUUAAGGUGAGUGCGUGACCAUGACUUAUUUAAGCAUUAAGAUUGUGUGAUUUGUGUUUAUUUGAUGUGUGGAUUGAUCUUCCUUGUUGUUUUAUGUGUUUCUGGUGUUUGUGUGGCUUUGUGUGGUUGUUCCUUUGUUGUGUCGUCAUGGGAGAUGAUGUGGUGGUGAUUUUAGGGUUCUUUGGUGGAUGAGAUCGUCAUUGGAUGUGUCCCAGGGUGUGGGUGUCGACCAACACCUGGACGGUAUUGAUCGACACCUGGACGGUAUUGAUCGACACCAUACGGUUGUUCGCAGUGCAGUUUUGUGAUGAUGUCGGGUGGUGGUGUUGACCGACACAAGUUGUGGUUGAUGGUGUCGACCGACAGCAGAUAUUGGUGUCGACCGACAGCAGAUAUUGGUGUCAACUAACACUAGUGUUCUGUGAGCACAAUUUGUGUUUUUGUUUGACUGGUUCGGUUGUUUUUGGUAUUAUCUUAUGUGUAUAGCCCAGUAGAUGGGAGGAGCACUUCACUGAAUAUUUGUGAUAAUACUCACGUAUCUCUUUGUGUUUGUGGUGUAGGUAAAGUGUGACGUGAAAUCGUGGCAAUGAUGAGGAGGAUGAUCUAGAGUCUCGAUUGUUUUGUUUAUGGUUAUGUUAUGAUGUUGGAACCUAGAUUAGAAGCAUGCUAGGUUGUUGGUGUAAAUUGU
rnacentral:lncRNA from 1 species